GAGUGGUUAUGGGUGUGUUCUCUCGUGGCUCUGCUUUGUCGCAGCCACCAACGAUAAAUCAUCAUUUUUGUACUUUAAGCUUGAGGCUUGAUACGUGCUAUGUUGCCUUCUAAGGAUAUUAAAAUGGAAUGGUACAAUUUUUACCAAUUGCUUUGUCCCUCACCGUGCCCUUUGGUGAUGCGAGGGACGACCAAUGGAGGUACCUUCUUCGACGUUGAUUGGCGAUGUUAUUAGUCGUUAACGAAUUUCGGUCGUUGAGUGGUUCCGGCGUUUUUUGGAUGUGGUGUAUUGAUUGGGAUUUCAAGGAAGGGUGCCUUGUUUGAAUACAAAUUGUAUCUCGGUUUGUCCGCACUUUGUGAAAAGACAUCGCGCGAUUGUGUCGUCAUCUCUUUUAAUUAGGAGUGUGUUCGUCAUAUUGUCGGUGCCUUUAAGGUCGUGCUACCUGGUUGAUCCUGCCAGUAGUCAUAUGCUUGUCUCAAAGA
rnacentral:misc_RNA from 1 species